UGUUUAAAAGAGACACUUUGAAUCAGCUGGCAACGUGAUCUUUCUAUCUGAUCUUUAAAACAUAUAUUAUGCAAGAACUGUCAAAAUUAGCUGUGAGAAUUUCUGGUUUCCAGAUGUGUGGGACCAAUAAAAGUAUCACUGACCUAAAAAAACUAUGUGCAGAGAUAAUACAGUGAACAUACAAACUAUGUCAGUACAGUUACUGGAGUUGAAGUGAGAUAUUCAGUUCAAACUUGUAAGCACCACUUCAGAGUGUCCUUAGGAUCAACCAGGAUAUUACAGGUAUAGUAAAAUAAUUUUUAGAUCUGUAUGUGACAUAAUUAAGACACUUGAAUGUGCAGUCUUGUUUAGACUGAAAUUUACAGACAGUAGCAAAUACGUGUUUUUCCCUUUUCACAAGUUUUUGCCCAACUGCAUUUGCCAAGGAAAACCCAUUUAUUACAGAAUGGAAUACACGGGUUUUUUCUUCCUCUAGAAGAUGAUUAUCAGUAUGGCUUUACCAACAGUCAUCUGAGGACCUUUGUUUUUGUAUGGAGUCCUCCUGAACUCGGCGAUGAACGAUGGAGAAUGUCCAUCAGACACCAACCACAGAACUAUAUAAGUGCCAAGUAGUCUCUCCAGGAGCUGGGACCACCUUCUGCUGUAACUAGGAGAUCUGCUAAACACGGCUUCAUUCCAAAAGUUUUGCAACGCUGAAAAUUAUGGCUCUGAGGCGCUGCUAUUGUGACCAGUGCUUGCACAGACGGUAAGAAGAGGCUUCUUGUUUAAUCUGCACACAUUCAUUACGAAUAGUCUGAACAGAUGAUGAAGGUAAG
rnacentral:lncRNA from 1 species